rnacentral:rRNA from 1 species
GUACUGUGAAGCAUCCUGUUAAGUCAGGCAACGAGCGAGACCCACGUCCACAGUUGCCAGCAUACCCUCCGGGGUGAUGGGUACACUGUGGAGACCGCCGCUGCUAAAGCGGAGGAAGGAGUGGGCAACGGUAGGUCAGUAUGCCCCGAAUCUCCCGGGCUACACGCGGGCUACAAUGGUUGGUACAAUGGGCAUCUACCCCGAAAGGGGAAGGAAAUCUCUUAAAGCCAAUCGUAGUUCGGAUUGAGGGCUGCAACUCGCCCUCAUGAAGCUGGAAUCCGUAGUAAUCGCGUUUCAACAGAACGCGGUGAAUACGUCCCUGCUCCUU